GAUGAACGCUGGCGGCGUGCCUAAUACAUGCAAGUCGAGCGAACAGACGAGGAGCUUGCUCCUCUGACGUUAGCGGCGGACGGGUGAGUAACACGUGGAUAACCUACCUAUAAGACUGGGAUAACUUCGGGAAACCGGAGCUAAUACCGGAUAGUAUAUUGAACCGCAUGGUUCAAUAGUGAAAGACGGUUUUGCUGUCACUUAUAGAUGGAUCCGCGCCGCAUUAGCUAGUUGGUAAGGUAACGGCUUACCAAGGCAACGAUGCGUAGCCGACCUGAGAGGGUGAUCGGCCACACUGGAACUGAGACACGGUCCAGACUCCUACGGGAGGCAGCAGUAGGGAAUCUUCCGCAAAGGGCGAAAGCCUGACGGAGCAACGCCGCGUGAGUGAUGAAGGUCUUCGGAUCGUAAAACUCUGUUAUUAGGGAAGAACAAAUGUGUAAGUAACUAUGCACGUCUUGACGGUACCUAAUCAGAAAGCCACGGCUAACUACGUG
rnacentral:rRNA from 1 species